GGAAGCAAGGGUGAUCUGGUUGUGACAGCUGUCACCCCAUUGAUCUCCAGUGUUGACUGAGCUGAUUUUGCCAGCUGGGGGUGGCAUGAUGUCCCUUUCCUCUUCAUUCCAGGUACAUUCCUCUCAGAGCUGUGCACUCGAUGGGAGAGGAGCACCAUCUCUGAUAGAGGACUGUUCUUUGGUCAACGGUAUGUGAGUAGCUGCCCUUCCGUGCUCGAACCUCCAAACAAGCUCUCAAGUCCAUUGAUAGUCAAGCUUCUAAGACUUCCCUGCAGACUUGAUUUAGAGUCCUGUAUUGAG
rnacentral:snRNA from 1 species